rnacentral:rRNA from 1 species
UGGGGAAUAUUGGACAAUGGGCGCAAGCCUGAUCCAGCCAUGCCGCGUGAGUGAUGAAGGCCUUAGGGUUGUAAAGCUCUUUCGCCGGUGAAGAUAAUGACGGUAACCGGAGAAGAAGCCCCGGCUAACUUCGUGCCAGCAGCCGCGGUAAUACGAAGGGGGCUAGCGUUGCUCGGAAUCACUGGGCGUAAAGCGCACGUAGGCGGAUCGUUAAGUCAGGGGUGAAAUCCUGGAGCUCAACUCCAGAACUGCCCUUGAUACUGGCGAUCUCGAGUUCGAGAGAGGUUGGUGGAACUCCGAGUGUAGAGGUGAAAUUCGUAGAUAUUCGGAAGAACACCAGUGGCGAAGGCGGCCAACUGGCUCGAUACUGACGCUGAGGUGCGAAAGCGUGGGGAGCAAAACAGGAUUAGAUACCCUGGUAGUCCACGCCGUAAAACGAUGGAUGCUAGCCGUUGGGGGGUUUACCUCUCAGUGGCGCAGCUAACGCCUUAAGCAUCCCGCCUGGGGAGUACGGUCGCAAGAUUAAAACUCAAAGGAAUUGACGGGGUC